AUCGAUAUAGGGUGUUAUAAUUGGUAUCAGAGCAGGUCGAUUCAGUAUCGGACCUUGCCGUGGAUCGUUAAAAUUCAAUCCGAAGUAGUACGAACCCUUUGGAGUCUGGACUGUUUACGCUGAAAUCAUCGCGUGCUGAGCCUGAUCAACUCAGUAUCGUGUAUGGUAGGCAGGGUAUUACAGUUGAGAACCAAAGUGUACCAAGGAGGUCGAGUAGUAAGAACACAGUAGAAGCGCGAACUCAGAAGGAAGUAUGAGCGAAGAUCGUUAGAAGCAGAUGUUGGAACUGCAACAAUCAAUGCCACAAGAGUAAGUAACGUAACACCAACAAGUGGUGUGAAGAAUUUGAGAAUAGUACGUGGCGUAAUACCAGUAGUAAGGAUGAGUUAGGAGAUGCAUGAACCGGACGCACUCAACUGACGAUAGCA
rnacentral:lncRNA from 1 species